rnacentral:lncRNA from 1 species
GCAAGUGUGUCUCAUGAGUGCAGCCCUGCCACUGCUGCUGCUGGAGUGGGCGUCUGCUCACGGGGCUCACCUGCAGCUUCUCUCUUCUCUCUUUCCAGGAACUGCUGGACUACAUUGACAGAGUGGCUGUGCAAGAGAGGGUCAUGGGCAGGAUCAGGCUGCUGAGCCAUUUGCUGGCCGACUCUUCCACUGUGCAGGCUGGUCAAAAUGAGGGCAGCGGUGCUGCCAGCACAGAGAUCCAGAUACCAGUCCUUGGGAAGCUGCUGGGACAUCUCCUAUUCAAGUCACUCAGGACAGAAAAGACAAGCUCUAUGGCUCUGGAUUGUCUCUGCUCUCUCUUCACAUUCACCGGUCAUCAGAAAGGUGCCACACCACCAGUGGUUCGUGCCCAGCUCCCAGCAUAUUGGGAAUCUGAGAUCACCUCCUUGCUGCGUAAGCCCAGCGCCCGGAGAGUUCAGGUGACCAGCCCUCCCCCUUGCUGGGCCUCUCAUCCGUGGCAUCAGCAGGGGAUUGGUGUGCACAAAGGGGCGCAGAAUCAGCGGGGCUGUCCCUGGCGAGAGGCUUCCCGCUGUCCCCGAGCAGGGAACACUGCGGUGUCCCAGCAGCAGCAGCAGCAGCAGCUCCAGCCCUGCUGGCCACCAGCGAGCCCUGGCUCUCUGUAGGGCCCGUGCCCCAUGCCUGAGAGCCCAGCCCUCCUCCUUGUCAC